UACGUAGGGGGCAAGCGUUGUCCGGAAUUAUUGGGCGUAAAGAGCGUGUAGGCGGUCCGGUAAGUCAGCUGUGAAAGUCAAGGGCUCAACCCUUGAAUGCCGGUUGAUACUGUCGGGCUAGAGUCCGGAAGAGGCGAGUGGAAUUCCCGGUGUAGCGGUGAAAUGCGCAGAGAUCGGGAGGAACACUAAUGGCGAAGGCAGCUCGCUGGGUCGGUACUGACGCUGAGACGCGAAAGCGUGGGGAGCAAACGGG
rnacentral:rRNA from 1 species